CACACACAUCCAGUGUUAACAGAAGGGGAUCUGUUAGAGGAAGAGGAAGGCUUGUCAGUGUUUUCAUUGCAGCUCCAGACCACAUUUCACCUUUCAGCUGCGGUUAGCGCUCAAAUGAGGCUGCACUUUGCAUACGAGAGAAAACAAUCACAUGGACGUUGCAUCUGUAUUCGUAGCACACUUUAUGCGAACAGCCAUCUGCAUCGGCUGUAGGUCUGUAGUGAAGGCAAGUGAGUGAGGGAGGGAGGGAGUAAGGCAGGUAGGUGAGUGAAUGAAGUAGGGAGGUGAGGUAGGUAGGUAGGUGAGGUAGGUAGGUAGGUGAGGGAGGUAGGUAGGUAGGUAGGUGAGUGAAUGAAGUAGGGAGGUAGGUAGGUGAGGUAGGUAGGUGAGUGAAUGAGGUAGGUAGGUAGGUGAGGGAGGGAGGUAGUUGGUGAGGGAGGUAGGUAGGUAGGUGAGUGAAUGAAGUAGGGAGGUAGGUAGGUGAGUGAAUGAGGUAGGUAGGUGAGGUAGGGAGGUGUGUGAAUGAAGUAGGGAGGUAGGUAGGUGAGGUAGAGGUGAGUGAGUGAGGUAGGUAGGUAUGUGAGUGAGGUAGGUAGGUAGGUGAGUGUAUGAGGUAGGUAGGUGAGUGAAUGAGGUAGGUAGGUGAGGUAGGUAGGUAGGUAGGUGAGUGAAUGAGGUAGGUAGGUGAGGUAGGUAGGUUAGUGAAUGAGGUAGGUAGGUGAGUGAAUGAGGUAGGUAGGUGAGGUAGGUAGGUAGGUGAGUGAAUGAGGUAGGUAGGUGAGUGAAUGAGGUAGGUAGGUG
ensembl:lncRNA